rnacentral:rRNA from 1 species
AUACGGAGGGAGCAAGCGUUAUUCGGAAUCGCUGGGCGUAAAGGACGCGUAGGCGGGUUUGUAAGUCAGGUGUGAAAUCCUACAGCUCAACUGUAGAACUGCACUUGAAACUACAGACCUAGAGUAUGGAAGGGGCAGAUGGAAUUAGUGGUGUAGGGGUAAAAUCCGUAGAUAUCACUAGGAAUACCGAAAGCGAAGGCGAUCUGCUGGGACAUUACUGACGCUGAGGCGUGAAAGCGUGGGGAGCAAACAGGAGUAGAAACCCUAGUAGUCC